UACGGAGGGGGCUAGCGUUGUUCGGAAUUACUGGGCGUAAAGCGCACGUAGGCGGCUUUGUAAGUUAGAGGUGAAAGCCCGGGGCUCAACUCCGGAACUGCCUUUAAGACUGCAUCGCUUGAAUCCGGGAGAGGUGAGUGGAAUGCCGAGUGUAGAGGUGAAAUUCGUAGAUAUUCGGCGGAACACCAGUGGCGAAGGCGACUCACUGGCCCGAUACUGACGCUGAGGCGCGAAAGCGUGGGGAGCAAACAGG
rnacentral:rRNA from 1 species